rnacentral:rRNA from 1 species
GACAGAGGGUGCAAACGUUGUUCGGAUUUACUGGGCGUAAAGCGCGUGUAGGCGGCUUGGCAAGUCGGAUGUGAAAGCCCUCGGCUCAACCAAGGAAGUGCAUCCGAAACUGCUGAGCUUGAGUACUUAAGAGGAUCGCGGAAUUCCCGGUGUAGAGGUGAAAUUCGUAGAUAUCGGGAGGAACACCAGUGGCGAAGGCGGCGAUCUGGGAAGAUACUGACGCUGAGGUGCGAAAGCGUGGGGAGCAAACAGG